rnacentral:rRNA from 1 species
GACGAACCGUGCGAACGUUAUUCGGAAUCACUGGGCUUAAAGCGCGUGUAGGCGGGCCGGCACGUCGGCUGCUGAAAUCCCCCGGCUCAACCGGGGAAGGGGCACCGAUACGACCGGCCUGGAGGGGGGUAGGGGGGACGGGAACUUCCGGUGGAGCGGUGAAAUGCGUUGAGAUCGGAAGGAACACCAGUGGCGAAAGCGGCUUCCUGGUCCAGCACCGACGUUCAGGCACGAAAGCGUGGGGAGCAAACAGG